UGUGUUCUUGCAUGCUGGUGAGGAAGCUGGGAGGAGACACAGCUGGGACAGGUGACCCAAACUGACCAAAGGGAUUUCCAGGCCAUGCGACUUCAUGCUCAGGACAUAAAGUGGGCCGAAGAAGGAGGAAGGCUGGGACAUUUGGAGUGAUGAUGUUCGUCUGCCUAGGUCUGUCAGGUUUGAAGAUAGAGAUCAGAAAACGAUGGACCAAGAAGGAUGUGGUGGAAAGGGUACCAGUUGAAUGACAGAACAGACCUGUGUCUCUGAAGAAACAAGAAGGAUGAGGAAGGAUGCUGCAAAAACAGCUACAAAUGUUGCAGAGGAGGAGCAGAGCACAUGAAGGUCUCCAGCCAUCCUGCAGGAGUGAGGGAUUGGUGCAAACCAAGCCUUGAGAACAGGCUCAGAAGGGCCAGACCUGUUCCUCUACCCACACUCAUUUCCCCUGUAUUCUGCCUGGAGCAGAGAUAAUGCAGGCCACUUGGGGCAGCUCCAUUUGAGUGGGGAUGUGCCUUACUACAUUCCAGAGACAGCAGGUUUGGAGGGUGCAGAGAGUAUUUACCCAAUGUGUUUACUAUUGCUGGCCCUUCAGAGCCCAUCACCAGCCAUUCCCUGGUUGAGGCUCCAUCUCUGCAUCCAGCAUCAGGUACCCUCCAUCCUCUAUUGAGGGAUCUUCAGUCAAUAAAGAGGGCCACAUGGCA